rnacentral:rRNA from 1 species
CCUACGGGAGGCAGCAGUAGGGAAUCUUUCACAAUGGGCGAGAGCCUGAUGGAGCAACGUCGCGUGCAGGAUGACGGCCUUCGGGUUGUAAACUGCCUUUUUAAGCGAGAAAUAUGAUGGUAACUUAUGAAUAAGGAUCGGCUCACUACGUGCCAGCAGCCGAGGUCAGACGGAGGAUUCAAGCGUUAUCCGGAUUUAUUGGGUGUAAAGGGUGCGUAGGCGGUCGGAUAAGUUAGAAGUGAAAUCCCGAGGCGCAACUUCGGAAUUGCGUGGGAUACUGUGCGGCUAGAGAGUAGUUGCGGUAGGCGGAAUGUAUGGUGUAGCGGUGAAAUGCUUAGAGAUCAUACAGAACACCGAUUGCGAAGGCAGCUUACCAAGCUACUUCUGACGUUGAGGCACGAAAGCGUGGGGAGCAAACAGGAUUAGAUACCCCGGUAGUC